rnacentral:lncRNA from 1 species
CUCUCCCUCCACCAGUGCCGGUAUACAAGAAGCCGGUCCCUCCCCCCGUCCCGGUCUACAAGAAGCCUCACCCUCCGCCCGUCCCAAUCUACAAGAAACCUCUCCCUCCACCUGUCCCAGUCUAUAAGAAGCCUAACCCUCCACCAGUCCCAGUAUACAAGAAACCUUACCCUCCACCAACACCAAUCUACAAGAAACCUCUCCCUCCUCCCGUCCCAGUCUAUAAGAAGCCUAACCCUCCACCAGUCCCAGUAUACAAGAAACCUUGCCCUCCACCAAAACCAAUCUACAAGAAACCUCUCCCUCCACCUGUCCCAAUCUAUAAGAAGCCUCUUCCACCACCAGUUCCAGUAUACAAGAAGCCACUUCCACCACUAGUCCCCAUAUACAAGAAGCCAUUUCCACCACCAGUCCCAAUAUACACAAAGCCACUUCCACCACCAAUCCCAAUAUACAAGAAGCCACUUCCACCA